rnacentral:rRNA from 1 species
UCGAAUCCUGCUGAGCAACGACCUGAGAACAUGUUUAUCGUACNGGUNUCGGGACGAGGGAAACCACGGACCAUGCCCCGAGCACGGCGUCGAACACCGGUCGUUCGUCGUGCAAACAACCAACCCCGGGCGAGAAACGCAAGGAAAACGUAAAUAGGAAUGUCUGCCCCCCGUCGUGCCGUAUGCGUGCUCUCACGGGAGGACCACAGACGUCAAAGAAACA